rnacentral:rRNA from 1 species
AUUGAACGCUGGCGGCAUGCUUUACACAUGCAAGUCGAACGGUAACAGGCCGCAAGGUGCUGACGAGUGGCGAACGGGUGAGUAAUGCAUCGGAACGUGCCCAGUCGUGGGGGAUAACUACUCGAAAGAGUAGCUAAUACCGCAUACGAUCUAUGGAUGAAAGCGGGGGACCGCAAGGCUUCGCGCGAUUGGAGCGGCCGAUGUCAGAUUAGGUAGUUGGUGGGGUAAAGGCUCACCAAGCCAACGAUCUGUAGCUGGUCUGAGAGGACGACCAGCCACACUGGGACUGAGACACGGCCCAGACUCCUACGGGAGGCAGCAGUGGGGAAUUUUGGGCAAUGGGCGCAAGCCUGAUCCAGCAACGCCGCGUGCAGGAAGAAGGCCUUCGGGUUGUAAACUGCUUUUGUACGGAACGAAACGGCUCUGGUUAAUACCCGGGGCUAAUGACGGUACCGUAAGAAUAAGCACCGGCUAACUACGUG